GCCGCCUUAGCUCAGCCGGUAGAGCAGCUACCUUGUAAGUAGACGGUCAGGGGUUCGAAUCCUCUAGGCGGCACCA
rnacentral:tRNA from 1 species